GACGAACGCUGGCGGCGUGCUUAACACAUGCAAGUCGAACGGAAAGGCCCUGCUUUUGUGGGGUGCUCGAGUGGCGAACGGGUGAGUAACACGUGAGUAACCUGCCCUUGACUUUGGGAUAACUUCAGGAAACUGGGGCUAAUACCGGAUAGGAGCUCCUGCUGCAUGGUGGGGGUUGGAAAGUUUCGGCGGUUGGGGAUGGACUCGCGGCUUAUCAGCUUGUUGGUGGGGUAGUGGCUUACCAAGGCUUUGACGGGUAGCCGGCCUGAGAGGGUGACCGGCCACAUUGGGACUGAGAUACGGCCCAGACUCCUACGGGAGGCAGCAGUGGGGAACAUUGCACAAUGGGCGGAAGCCUGAUGCAGCAACGCCGCGUGCGGGAUGACGGCCUUCGGGUUGUAAACCGCUUUCGCCUGUGACGAAGCGUGAGUGACGGUAAUGGGUAAAGAAGCACCGGCUAACUACAUG
rnacentral:rRNA from 1 species